rnacentral:rRNA from 3 species
GACGAACGCUGGCGGCGUGCCUAAUACAUGCAAGUCGAACGAACUCUGGUAUUGAUUGGUGCUUGCAUCAUGAUUUACAUUUGAGUGAGUGGCGAACUGGUGAGUAACACGUGGGAAACCUGCCCAGAAGCGGGGGAUAACACCUGGAAACAGAUGCUAAUACCGCAUAACAACUUGGACCGCAUGGUCCGAGCUUGAAAGAUGGUUUCGGCUAUCACUUUUGGAUGGUCCCGCGGCGUAUUAGCUAGAUGGUGGGGUAACGGCUCACCAUGGCAAUGAUACGUAGCCGACCUGAGAGGGUAAUCGGCCACAUUGGGACUGAGACACGGCCCAAACUCCUACGGGAGGCAGCAGUAGGGAAUCUUCCACAAUGGACGAAAGUCUGAUGGAGCAACGCCGCGUGAGUGAAGAAGGGUUUCGGCUCGUAAAACUCUGUUGUUAAAGAAGAACAUAUCUGAGAGUAACUGUUCAGGUAUUGACGGUAUUUAACCAGAAAGCCACGGCUAACUACGUGCCAGCAGCCGCGGUAAUACGUAGGUGGCAAGCGUUGUCCGGAUUUAUUGGGCGUAAAGCGAGCGCAGGCGGUUUUUUAAGUCUGAUGUGAAAGCCUUUCGGCUCAACCGAAGAAGUGCAUCGGAAACUGGGAAACUUGAGUGCAGAAGAGGACAGUGGAACUCCAUGUGUAGCGGUGAAAUGCGUAGAUAUAUGGAAGAACACCAGUGGCGAAGGCGGCUGUCUGGUCUGUAACUGACGCUGAGGCUCGAAAGUAUGGGUAGCAAACAGGAUUAGAUACCCUGGUAGUCCAUACCGUAAACGAUGAAUGCUAAGUGUUGGAGGGUUUCCGCCCUUCAGUGCUGCAGCUAACGCAUUAAGCAUUCCGCCUGGGGAGUACGGCCGCAAGGCUGAAACUCAAAGGAAUUGACGGGGGCCCGCACAAGCGGUGGAGCAUGUGGUUUAAUUCGAAGCUACGCGAAGAACCUUACCAGGUCUUGACAUACUAUGCAAAUCUAAGAGAUUAGACGUUCCCUUCGGGGACAUGGAUACAGGUGGUGCAUGGUUGUCGUCAGCUCGUGUCGUGAGAUGUUGGGUUAAGUCCCGCAACGAGCGCAACCCUUAUUAUCAGUUGCCAGCAUUAAGUUGGGCACUCUGGUGAGACUGCCGGUGACAAACCGGAGGAAGGUGGGGAUGACGUCAAAUCAUCAUGCCCCUUAUGACCUGGGCUACACACGCGCUACAAUGGAUGGUACAACGAGUUGCGAACUCGCGAGAGUAAGCUAAUCUCUUAAAGCCAUUCUCAGUUCGGAUUGUAGGCUGCAACUCGCCUACAUGAAGUCGGAAUCGCUAGUAAUCGCGGAUCAGCAUGCCGCGGUGAAUACGUUCCCGGGCCUUGUACACACCGCCCGUCACACCAUGAGAGUUUGUAACACCCAAAGUCGGUGGGGUAACCUUUUAGGAACCAGCCGCCUAAGGUGGGACAGAUGAUUAGGGUG